ensembl:misc_RNA Metazoa_SRP Metazoan signal recognition particle RNA
GCCAGGCAUAGUGGUGUGUGCCUGUAGUCCUAGCUACUGGGAAGGCUGAGAUGGGAGGAUCACUUGAGCCUGGGAGUUUGAGGAUGCAGUGAGCCAAGAUCAGACCACUGCACUCCAGCCUGGGCAAUAGAGCAAGACCCCAUCUCAA